GACGAACGCUGGCGGCGUGCUUAACACAUGCAAGUCGAACGGAAAGGCCUGCUUUCCCUUGUGGAUUGCGGGUACUCGAGUGGCGAACGGGUGAGUAACACGUGAGUGAUCUGCCCCCAACUUGGGUAUAAGCCUGGGAAACUGGGUCUAAUUCCCGAUAGGACUGCAGGGUGGUGCCUGUGGUGGAAAACGAUUUUCUAGUGGUUGGGGAUGAGCUCGCGGCCUAUCAGCUUGUUGGUGGGGUAAUGGCCUACCAAGGCGGCGACGGGUAGCCGGCCUGAGAGGGUGGACGGCCACAUUGGGACUGAGAUACGGCCCAGACUCCUACGGGAGGCAGCAGUGGGGAAUAUGGCACAAGGGGCGGAAGCCUGAUGCAGCGACGCCGCGUGGGGGAUGACGGCCUUCGGGUUGUAAACUCCUUUCGACCGCGAGGAAGCCACCUGGUUGGAAGGGUGGUGACGGUAGUGGUAGAAGAAGCACCGGCUAACUACGUG
rnacentral:rRNA from 1 species